rnacentral:rRNA from 1 species
UACGUAGGGUGCAAGCGUUGUCCGGAAUUAUUGGGCGUAAAGAGCUCGUAGGCGGUUCGUCGCGUCGGCUGUGAAAUCCCGGGGCUUAACUCCGGGUCUGCAUUCGAUACGGGCAGGCUAGAGUUCGGUAGGGGAGAUCGGAAUUCCUGGUGUAGCGGUGAAAUGCGCAGAUAUCAGGAGGAACACCGGUGGCGAAGGCGGAUCUCUGGGCCGAUACUGACGCUGAGGAGCGAAAGCGUGGGGAGCGAACAGG